rfam:Triticum urartu cultivar G1812 contig98999, whole genome shotgun sequence.
UAUAUACUACCUCCGUCCGAAAAUACUUAUCAUUAAAAAGAAUAAGAAGGAAUGUAUCUAGAUCUAAUUUAGUUUUAGAUACAUCUCUUUUUACCUAUUUUAAUGACAAGUAUUUUCAGGCGGAGGGAGUAAUAU